AUUUCAACUGGGUCACAUGACUCUCUGCCUGAUGUCGAAGAAGGGAGGAGAGCUAGGUUUCCUAAAGUAACUGCAGUGACAGCAAUGGAUUAACUUCAGUUUGUACUGAUAAUGCUCACUCUACCCUAGAAGAGGG